rnacentral:tRNA from 1 species
GGACGGAUGGCUGAGUGGUCGAAAGCGCCCGCCUGCUAAGUGGGUAACCUUCAAAAGAGGUUCUCGGGUUCGAAUCCCGAUUCGUCCGCCA